AUGACUAAAGUGAUUAUUCAGUGCAAAGGUGAAGCCAGUAAGCAAUGUCUGUAUGAUUACUCAGCCUUUACUCAAUAUUCCAUUGGCAGGGGGGAAGAAGAUGAUGGAAAAUCAAGCCAGAAGACUCGGAUCUUCAAUUUCUUUGGCACCUACACUGAAAAUUACAAAGCCUGGGAACUCAAUGGGACAGGAAAGAUCUGCACUGUCAGCCAUGGAGCAGCUUUCUGCAAGUCUGAGAUAAAGCAUUUAGGGAGGAAAUCUAGUGGAAGCUCCACUUCUGGGAGAUGGCAACUAUCAAUAAUAGAAUUCCACACAAGGAACAAGAUGCCUGUUGAAUUCCACCCUUUAUGAGAACUGAACUUACCUACUGCCAAAAGUAGAUGGGGUUUGGCUUUUAUUUGCUCUGUCUUGUUGCCUGCAUAUUUGAGGUAAGCCAGAUAAAAUGGAAAUAGCAAUGUUUAACACGUUAAUUGCCAAAAGUACUGAGUUACUGGGAGUAAAAUUUUCAAACAUAUCUAAAGGAAAGCAGGUGUAGGAAAAUUGUCCCUCAUUCCAGCUGCUUUUUAUCAUAACAAUGUUUGGUUCCCAUGAUCAUUUAAGUAAAAGGUCUUACUGGACUUACAGGCUUCUGCUGAUACCUAAGAUAGGACAGUCAGCACAUAAAUUAGGUGAGCGUCGUCUGCUAGUCAUGUGGAAUGCCACCAUGACCACGAAUCUGCAACGUGUUAGACUACUCUGUGUGGAGAUUAUAUGAAGACUAAAAGUACUGUUUAAAAUACAAAGAUAACCCAUGGCUUCUAGGGUAUAUGAGAGCUUUCAAAUUGUACCCAGUUAUCAUCACUAUACCACAAAAUUCUCUAGAUUACUGUUUAAAUGAUGUAAGUAGCUCAGGCUUUAAGUCAGAAACUUAUUUAAUUUCAAUUUUUAACAUAACUUUAUAUCCAAAUAGAUUUAGAAACUAUUUCCAAAUAGUUUAUUGGUUUUAAUUCCAUAUUCUUCACUCCUGAUUUUUGGGAUAAUACUUCUAACAUUGUAAAGAACUCCAGAGAGCCUUGAGGUAUUCCGGGCUCUCACAGUGCUGUGCUUCCCUCUUUGUCUAACAGAUCAGUCACCAAAUAAGACUUUAACUCAUAUGCCAUGGAUAGCUAAACCAGUUUGAGUUUUGCAUACUGUUUUACUCUUGAAGUUUAAACAAGCUAAUUAGUAGCUCUGAUACAAGAAUACUCACAGGAAAAAAAAUCUUCUCACCUUUUAUAUUCAAAUUAUGUACUUUAAAAUUUGUAAUCAAUUUUCAAUGGCUCUUCUAUAACUGAGUCAGGUGUUUAAGGUAUAAAUAAACCUGUAAACCUUCUUUGAAACA
rnacentral:lncRNA from 1 species